CACGGAUGCAUUUCCUCCUGAGAAGUGCCCUUGUUAACAUUACCAUGAAUGAUGUUUGCAUCAUGACUGUUCAAGUAACUUCCUAGAACAAAGACUUUCCCCCCAUCCUUCUUUUGAAGAUUUGCAAAGAAAACCAAAAACUAUCAUGUUCUUUCCCUUGCCACUGGACAACUUAUGGAGAUGUCUCAAGCCAUACUCAUUAUGUCUAUCAGCUGGUGGUUUAUAACGUUGCAUUCACCUCAAUUUCUUGUUCCAAGUCCUGCUCAUUUCAU